CUGGUUUCCCUCAUGCGUCCGGUUCCUUUUUCCAUCGCCACCUCCUAAUAGAUCGUGGGACGAUUCGGUUUCCGACUCGGCCUCCCGCCGGCGACCCGCCCGUGCCGCACCGGCCAGCUGCAGACGUCCGAGCCGGGCUCCUGGUCUCCCCUCGCGCCGCCCCGGCGAGCUACAGCCUGAGGUACACCCCCCCCACCCACCCAGCGCCUGCUCCCCCGGCGAGGCGACCCUCCCGUGCCGCACCGGCCAGCUGCAGACGUCCGAGCCGGGCUCCUGGUCUCCCCCUCGCGCCGCCCGGCGAGGCCCUGCGCCGCCGGCUCCCGUGCUGCCCCGGCUGCCUACCCCCACGCCAGAUCCCGCUCGCCUCUCCUACCAAUUUUUCUCCACUCCCUCGAGCUCAUUUCCGGUCAGCAGGUUUUCCUCUUCCAAAUCCAAUCUCGCCUGGAUUGGAGACGCAUUCGCGGCGUCGAAGAUCGGGGGCGCUAGGUUCCUAUCAUUUUCCUUUUGUGGUGGAUUUGAUCGGAUAGAUGAGAUGUGAUUCUGCCCUGCAGCGCAAGGCGAGCUGUAUUUUUUUUUCACAUUGAUUUUUUAUUUUGUCUAAUUUCCGGGGAGGAUCUGAUGAUUUGUGAAGGAUGGAUUCUCGAAGAAGAUUAGUGCAUAUGAUGCCUAUUAAUUUGAGGAGAGUGAUCUUUGAGAGCUCGCAGGAGGUGUUUGCGGUUCCCCUCCGUUCAGAACAGGGAGGGUCGAUUGGAGGUGACUCGAGAUCUCACCUUCCUGAUUCCGUCCCCCACCCUUUUUGUACCAAUGUAGGAGCAUCCUUCCGUGAGGCUCCCAACGCUCCCACGUCGUUGGACGGCCAUUUGAUUUCAGUUGGAUUUCAUUGAUUUGCUGUGAAGGUACCGAUGAUUUGUGCAGAGCCCCUAAUUGGACAGCGCGGCCAUGUAGUUGCCGGAGUUUGGGGCUUGCUGCAGCAGCACGCUGUCCAUUUCGUUGGCAUAACCCAUACACCUACCGCACGGUGACUGGGGCUGCCUCCAUCUACUGUGGCAGGUGUGCAGUGGCACAGGGACAUGAGGCGAGGAUGCUGUCGCCAAGUAUCCAGGGGGUUGCCAGUUGCCACCACUGCUGCCAUAGCUGAAGACGAUGGCCGCGAACUAGGCUGCUUCGAGGCUGUGGCCGAGGAGAAGUUUAAGCUCUGCGUGAAUGCGUGCAAUUCGCUCUGCAGCGUCCUCAAGGCUGUUUCUUUGUAUUAUCGGUUUUGCAAAUGUUGCAACUUGUCUUAUCGGUUUUGCAAAGUGCAGGCUGUUGCUUUGUUUCAGUUUUAAUUUGAGAUACACACAUUUGAGCCAAGAGGCAAGUUCCGACAUGGAAGGAUGGAGUGCUUUGUUUCAGUUUUAAUUUGAGAUACACACAUUUGAGCCAAGAGGCAAGUUCCGACAUGGAAGGAUGGAGCCACUGUUGUACACUAGUUUCAAAUGUAACAACAGUUGAUUUCUUCAUUUGUUUUAUCAAUUCAGUUUUUUCAGAAAGAGGGAAUAAAAGCAACUUGUCAAA